GACGAACGCUGGCGGCGUGCUUAACACAUGCAAGUCGAACGUGAUUUUUGUGGAAGUUCCUUCGGGAAUGGAAGCGAAAUGAAAGUGGCGAACGGGUGAGUAACACGUGAGCAGCCUACCUUACACAGGGGGAUAGCCGUUGGAAACGACGAUUAAUACCGCAUGAGACCACAGAAUCGCAUGAUAUAGGGGUCAAAGAUUUAUCGGUGUAAGAAGGGCUCGCGCCUGAUUAGCUAGUUGGAAGGGUAAAGGCCUACCAAGGCGACGAUCAGUAGCCGGUCUGAGAGGAUGAACGGCCACAUUGGAACUGAGACACGGUCCAAACUCCUACGGGAGGCAGCAGUGGGGAAUAUUGCACAAUGGGGGGAACCCUGAUGCAGCGACGCCGCGUGAGCGAAGAAGGUUUUCGAAUCGUAAAGCUCUGUCCUAUGAGAAGAUAAUGACGGUAUCAUAGGAGGAAGCCCCGGCUAAAUACGUGCCAGCAGCCGCGGUAAUACGUAUGGGGCGAGCGUUGUCCGGAAUUAUUGGGCGUAAAGGGUACGUAGGCGGUUUUUUAAGUCAGGUGUGAAAGCGUGAGGCUUAACCUCAUUAAGCACUUGAAACUGGAAGACUUGAGUGAAGGAGAGGAAAGUGGAAUUCCUAGUGUAGCGGUGAAAAUGCGUACAUAUUAAGAGGAAUACCGGUGGCGAAGGCGACUUUUCUGGACUUUUACUGAGGCUCGAGUAC
rnacentral:rRNA from 1 species